rnacentral:rRNA from 1 species
GACGAACGCUGGCGGCGUGCCUAACACAUGCAAGUCGAACGGAGUUGGAAGGAGCUUGCUUUUUUCAACUCAGUGGCGGACGGGUGAGUAACGCGUGAGUAACCUGCCUUUCAGAGGGGGAUAACGUUCUGAAAAGAACGCUAAUACCGCAUAAGAUUGUAGCUUCGCAUGGAGCAGCAAUCAAAGGAGCAAUCCGCUGAAAGAUGGACUCGCGUCCGAUUAGAUAGUUGGCGGGGUAACGGCCCACCAAGUCGACGAUCGGUAGCCGGACUGAGAGGUUGAUCGGCCACAUUGGGACUGAGACACGGCCCAGACUCCUACGGGAGGCAGCAGUGAGGGAUAUUGGGCAAUGGGGGAAACCCUGACCCAGCAACGCCGCGUGAGGGAUGACGGUUUUCGGAUUGUAAACCUCUGUCCUCUGUGAAGAUAGUGACGGUAGCAGAGGAGGAAGCUCCGGCUAACUACGUGCCAGCAGCCGCGGUAAUACGUAGGGAGCAAGCGUUGUCCGGAUUUACUGGGUGUAAAGGGUGCGUAGGCGGAUUGGCAAGUCAGAAGUGAAAUCCAUGGGCUUAACCCAUGAACUGCUUUUGAAACUGUUAGUCUUGAGUGAAGUAGAGGUAGGCGGAAUUCCCGGUGUAGCGGUGAAAUGCGUAGAGAUCGGGAGGAACACCAGUGGCGAAGGCGGCCUACUGGGCUUUAACUGACGCUGAGGCACGAAAGUGUGGGU